rnacentral:rRNA from 1 species
GGCCAGACUCCUACGGGAGGCAGCAGUGGGGAAUAUUGCACAAUGGGGGAAACCCUGAUGCAGCGACGCCGCGUGAGCGAAGAAGUAUUUCGGUAUGUAAAGCUCUAUCAGCAGGGAAGAAAAUGACGGUACCCGACUAAGAAGCUCCGGCUAAAUACGUGCCAGCAGCCGCGGUAAUACGUAUGGAGCAAGCGUUAUCCGGAUUUACUGGGUGUAAAGGGAGCGCAGGCGGCUUUGCAAGUCUGGAGUGAAAUGCCGGGGCUUAACCCCGGAACUGCUUUGGAAACUGUGCAGCUAGAGUGCAGGAGAGGUAGGUGGAAUUCCUAGUGUAGCGGUGAAAUGCGUAGAUAUUAGGAGGAACACCAGUGGCGAAGGCGGCUUACUGGACUGUAACUGACGUUGAGGCUCGAAAGCGUGGGGAGCAAACAGGAUUAGAUACCCGCGUAAA